rnacentral:rRNA from 1 species
UACGUAGGUGGCAAGCGUUGUCCGGAUUUAUUGGGUUUAAAGGGUGCGUAGGCGGCCCUGUAAGUCAGUGCUGAAAUAUCCCGGCUUAACCGGGAGGGUGGCAUUGAUACUGCGGGGCUAGAGUACAGAUGAGGUAGGCGGAAUUGACGGUGUAGCGGUGAAAUGCUUAGAUAUCGUCAAGAACACCGAUAGCGAAGGCAGCUUACUAGGCUGUAACUGACGCUAAGGCACGAAAGUGUGGGGAUCAAACAGG